UCCCCGCCCCCAUGCGUUGCUCUUUGUCCCAGUGCUGGGAUCAGGUGCUGGCUGAUACAGUGUACCCAGCAGCAGCACAGCCGGGGCCCCGGGGCCACACAGGAGCCGCACUGUGCGGGGGACACGGGGAGCGACUGGAGAACCCCUUUAUCCUCGCAGCUCUACUGCCAGCGUAAGUAAUGUGUAACUAUAUUCUCACGGCGCGAUGCCUGGGGACGCGGACUACCGGCAUGGGAUAUAAGCGCAUUGCUGGAGGAGGGUGUGAACAAUUCUGGAAAGAACAUACAAUACAGAUAACGGCUGCAUCCUGCAGUAAUUCAGGCUGUGGAGCCGCGGGAUGGAAAGUCAUAUCUGCUUUGUUAUAGUAAACUGCAAAUCAUCAUCCGCCCAGUGUUUGCUAGAAAACUUAUUUCUGCCCUUAAGGAAACAGUCAGCAAACUCAAACGCUACUAAAACAAAACAUAGUAUAAAUAUCUGUGGUGAAAAUCGUCGUCGCUAUACGUUGAGUACGUGAACUGAAGACGCACAGAGGCUCAUUCAUCGAGGUGUGGAACGCGCUAUUUCAAGUACAAAUUGGGGGGGGGGGUUAUAAAUAAGCCUUUUUUGUGAUUAUUUUAGAUGACUAUCACCUUUUUUUGUUCCCACAUUACCCUAUAAUUUAGAUUGCAGUUUGAACAUCUGAACACACGCCACCCAAAUCGUAAUCUCUCUGCACAUGUUACAUCUACCCCACCUGCAGUGCAGCAUGGUUUUGUCCAAUUGCUUUCUUUUUUGGUUUGCUAACAAACCUGAAUAACCCCUUAAAUGUGCAUGCAAAGAAUAAAGCACUUUUACUGUAGGUCAUCCGGGUGCAUUAUAUAAAUCACACGGACAUGGCCCAAAUAAUAUACUUUAUAUCAUACACUUGUCGAAGUCGAAAAUAUGACACCUACACUCAGCACGUGCAAACACCACACAGAGUGGCCUCUGUACGUGCACGUGUUCUGCCGUGCGUGCGCAUACCCGCACACUGCGUACAUUGGCUCGCGAAGCCCUACUUAUUAGCGCAUGGUAUGAGUAAAUACAGUAGCAUACGCAUUCACAUAGAAAAGCCACAAAGACAUAUCUGAUAUUUUAUCCACAUAAUACAUAAUAUACACAUAGCCCACACACACCACACCAGCAAGUUACAUUUACUUAGGAAAUAGAACAACAGAGAUAUCCAGCAUUACAGGAUAUGAGGGGACAGAAUUAGGUUAGGACGUGGUGUUUGGUAUCCAGAUGUACAGUAUUUCAAGGGCUACAUUCCGAUCGCAGUUUGCAGAUUAUAGCAUGCUCCUGCACACAGAUAUGUGCAGGAAUACAAUAUUCAUAACUUACUGUAACUACUGUACUCGUGAUAUUCGGCAGGAACCCAGUGGAGGACACCUGCAAGUACACCUGGACCAAGCAUCGCCCACCUAUUCAAACCAACCUAUGACCCCUCAUGUACUGUAAAUGACCUGCCCCUUGACCUAUGGAAGAAGAGCUUACAGUUUCCUUUGUAUUGUGUUUUGGACCAUUGUAUAAAAGCCAGGCCUCCUGGCCAGCCUCAGUCUAAUUCUCUGAAGGUCAUCUUCCUAAGACUGACUGAGGAUCGGAUCCGGGAGGCGCAGGCGAACAAACGUAUGUACUAUUGGUUGUAGCUCUUCUCUUGUGAUAUUGUUGUAUUUCUGUGUAUACCCUAAUAGUAAAUAUUUGUUGCUGCGUUGGACCACAACAUAACAUAUACAA